GGGGAAUUUUGGACAAUGGGGGCAACCCUGAUCCAGCCAUGCCGCGUGAGUGAAGAAGGCCUUCGGGUUGUAAAGCUCUUUCGGCCGGGAAGAAAUCGUGCAGGCUAAUACCCUGUAUGGAUGACGGUACCGGCAUAAGAAGCACCGGCUAACUACGUGCCAGCAGCCGCGGUAAUACGUAGGGUGCGAGCGUUAAUCGGAAUUACUGGGCGUAAAGCGUGCGCAGGCGGUUUUGUAAGACAGGCGUGAAAUCCCCGGGCUCAACCUGGGAACUGCCUUUGAUACUGGAAGUCUUGAGUAUGGUAGAGGUGAGUGGAAUUCCGAGUGUAGAGGUGAAAUUCGUAGAUAUUCGGAGGAACACCAGUGGCGAAGGCGGCUCACUGGACCAUUACUGACGCUGAGGUGCGAAAGCGUGGGGAGCAAACA
rnacentral:rRNA from 1 species